AGCUUGAAGUUUUCGUAUAGGGUUUAAUUUAUGCAUGUAAGUGAAUUCAAGCCCCGUUUUUAAUGAUUUUUAUGUUUUUGAGUUCGUUUUAGCUUAAUCUAACUAGUCCAUGGGUUAAUUUUCAAAAUUGUUAAAGGUUGAGGGAAUUUCCAUGGAUUUUUUUGAAUGACUUUUGAUGUUAUUUGAUAGAUUAUGAAUCUUUUUUGAAAAAUAAACAUGUUUUGUUAAGUGAUUUUUUGUGAAAUUACAUUUAGGGAUUAAAUUGUUAAAAGUAUAAAUUCAUGGGUUUUAUUAUGAAAUUUUGGUAAUAAUGGGUUGUUUCAAA
rnacentral:lncRNA from 1 species